rnacentral:rRNA from 1 species
GAUGAACGCUGGCGGUGUGCCUAAUACAUGCAAGUCGAGCGAACAGACGAGGAGCUUACUCCUCUGACGUUAGCGGCGGACGGGUGAGUAACACGUGGAUAACCUACCUAUAAGACUGGGAUAACUUCGGGAAACCGGAGCUAAUACCGGAUAACAUGUUGAACCGCAUGGUUCAACAGUGAAAGACGGUCUUGCUUUCACUUAUAGAUGGAUCCGCGUCGCAUUAGCUAGUUGGUAAGGUAACGGCUUACCAAGGCAACGAUGCGUAGCCGACCUGAGAGGGUGAUCGGCCACACUGGAACUGAGACACGGUCCAGACUCCUACGGGAGGCAGCAGUAGGGAAUCUUCCGCAAUGGGCGAAAGCCUGACGGAGCAACGCCGCGUGAGUGAAGAAGGUCUUCGGAUCGUAAAACUCUGUUAUUAGGGAAGAACAAAUGUGUAAGUAACUAUGCACGUCUUGACGGUACCUAAUCAGAAAGCCACGGCUAACUACGUG